rnacentral:rRNA from 1 species
GAAUAUUGCCCAAUGCGCGAAAGCGUGAGGCAGCAACGCCGCGUGCGCGAUGAAGGCCUUCGGGUCGUAAAGCGCUUUUCGGUGGGAUGAAGGCCGCAAGGCUUGACAGUACCACCGGAAUAAGGGACGGCUAACGCCGUGCCAGCAGCCGCGGUAAGACGUAGGUCCCGAGCGUUAUCCGGAUUUACUGGGCGUAAAGCGCGUUCAGGCGGUGGGCUCAGUCGGGCAUGAAAGCUCUCGGCUCAACCGGGAGAGGUUGUCCGAUACUGGCCCACUUGAGGGCAGUAGAGGGUGGUGGAAUUCCGGGUGUAGUGGUGAAAUGCGUAGAGAUCCGGAGGAACACCAGUGGCGAAGGCGGCCACCUGGACUGCCCCUGACGCUGACACGCGAAAGCUAGGGGAGCGAACGGG